GAAGGUAUAACUCAGUGGUAGAGCGAAUGUUUAGCAUGUACAAGGUCCUGGGUUCAAUCCCCAGCACCUCCA
rnacentral:tRNA from 1 species